rnacentral:rRNA from 1 species
AGAGUUUGAUCCUGGCUCAGAACGAACGCUGGCGGCGUGGAUAAGACAUGCAAGUCGAGCGCGAAUUUCAGUGUAGCAAUACAUUGAAGUUUGAGCGGCGCAAGGGUGCGUAACACGUGGGUAAUUUGCCGUGAAGUUGGGGAUAACUCGCUGAAAGGCGAGCUAAUACCGAAUGUGGAAUGGAGGUGGCAUCACUUUUCUUCUAAAGCUGGGGAUCGUAAGACCUGGCGCUUCAUGAUAAGCCCGCGGCCUAUCAGCUAGUUGGUGCGGUAACGGCGCACCAAGGCUAAGACGGGUAGCUGGUCUGAGAGGACGACCAGCCACACUGGAACUGAGACACGGUCCAGACACCUACGGGUGGCAGCAGUCGAGAAUUUUUCUCAAUGGGCGAAAGCCUGAAGGAGCGACGCCGCGUGGGGGAUGAAGGGUUUCGAUCCGUAAACCCCUGUCAUUUGUGAACAAUGGUUAUCAUUUAAAAGAUGAUGACUUGAUAGUAAUGAAAGAGGAAGGGACGGCUAACUCUGUGCCAGCAGCCGCGGUAAUACAGAGGUCCCGAGCGUUGUUCGGAUUCACUGGGCGUAAAGGGUGCGUAGGUGGCAUGGUAAGUUUGAUGUGAAAGCUCAGGGCUCAACCCUGAAAUGGCAUUGAAUACUACUGUGCUGGAGGUUUGGAGGGGGGACUGGAAUUCUCGGUGUAGCAGUGAAAUGCGUAGAUAUCGAGAGGAACACCAGUGGCGAAGGCGAGUCCCUGGACAACACCUGACACUGAGGCACGAAAGCUAGGGGAGCAAACAGGAUUAGAUACCCUGGUAGUCCUAGCCCUAAACGGUGCGCAUUUGCUGUAAGAGGAAUCGACCCCUUUUGUGGCGAAGCUAACGCGAUAAAUGCGCCGCCUGGGGAGUACGGUCGCAAGAUUAAAACUCAAAGGAAUUGACGG